rnacentral:lncRNA from 1 species
CAUUUUAAAACAUGCUAUCAAUUCUUGGAGAUAAGAUGUAUUUGGAGUAACACAUAUUUCUUUUAAUUUUCAGGAAAUGUUUGGAUUGUGAGCUAUUUCAGAACUCUGUUCUCAGGACCAUUAUUUGAACAUUUGGGAGAAACACAUCCAGAAGAUCUUGAGAGCAUCCACCAUCACAGCCACAGUUUAGUUUUCUGGAGAAUGCUGGCCUUAAAAUCCGAAGACUUAUAUUUGCGCCCUGACUCUUCAUGGAGACUCUUAGCGAGUCAUUUAACCCAUGCUUCAGUUUCCUGAUGUGUAAUCUGACUGUAGGAGGACAGAAGAAUCUGAAGACUCCAGAUGAUAUCUCAACUCCUUUUCAACAGCCUUCUCAAUUUCCUUUCUCAGAAAGCAGAGGCUCAAACCUUGGAGUCAGACGGUGAGAAUAUUUUUCUUGAGUUCUUUGGACUUACUCAUUGUGGCUUUGAUGUGUUUCAGACAAUUCAUUCUUAGUUGUAAAUUAUUUUAUAAUCACCAAAUGUGUAUUUUGUACUUUACC